rnacentral:rRNA from 1 species
CUGAACGCUGGCGGCGCGCCUUAACACAUGCAAGUCGAACGGCAGCAAGGGUGCCUCCGCACCUGGGGAUUGUAAGUGGCGAACGGGUGAAGUAAUGCACCGUGACGUAGCCUGCCCUUAUGUUGGGAAUAACCAUCCUGAAAGGGAGGCUAAUACCGCAUAGCGACCCUGAGGGUGAAGCCGAGGGGUGAAGAUAGCUCCGCAAGGGCUGUCGCAGUAUGGAUGGGCUCACGUGCCGAUUCAGCUAGUUGGUAGGGUAACGGCCUACCAAGGCGACUGAUCGGGUAGCUGGUCUGAGAGGACGAUCAGCCACACUGGAACUGAGACACGGUCCAGACUCCUACGGGAGGCAGCAGUGAGGAAUAUUGCGACAAUGGGCUGAAAGCCUGAUCGCAGCGACUUCCGCGUGAGUGAUGAAGGCUUUCGGGUUGUAAACCCUCUUUGGCAGGAAGAAGACUUAUCCCCGUGAAUAGCGGGAUGAGGUUGACGGUACCUCAGAUAAGAAGCACCGGCUAACUACUGUGCCAGCAGCCGCGGUAAUACAGUAGGGUGCGAGCGUUAGUUCGGAGUUACUGGGCGUAAAGCGUGCGCGUAGGCGGCAUUGACUAAGUCUGACUGUGAAAUCCUCGGGCUUCAACCCGGGAACUGCCAGUGGAUAACUGUCAGCGCUAGAGUAUGCGGAGAGGGCAGUAGGAAUUCUCGGUGUAGCAGGUGAAAUGCGUAGAUAUCGAGAGGAAUACCUGAGGUGAAGACGGCAGCUGCUGGGCCUACUACUGACGCUGAGUGCACGAAAGCAGUGGGGAGCAAACGGGAUUAGAUACCCCUGGUAGUCCCUGCCCUAAACGAUGUAAUACUUGUUGUUGGAGUAAAAUCAGUAGCUAACGGUGCCGUCGCUAACGUUUUAGUAUUCCGCCUGGGGAGUACGGCUCGCAAGAGUGAAAACUCAAAGGAAUUGACGGGGACCCGCACAAGCGGUGGAUUAUGUGGAUUAAUUCGACUGCAACGCGAAGAACCUUACCUAGGCUAGACAUGCUGAGGGAAGAAGGGUAAUACCGAUCGUCCGGUUUCCGGACCCAGAAACAAGGUGCUGCAUGGCUGUCGUCAGCUCGUGUCGUGAGAUGUUGGGUUAAGUCCCGCAACGAGCGCAACCUUAUCGAUCCAGUUGCCAGCGGUUCGGCCGGGGACUCUAUGGGGACUGCCGGCGUUAAAGCGGAGGAAGGUGGGGACUGACGUCAAGUCAUCAUGGCCCUUACGUCCAGGGCUACACACGUGCUACAAUGCCCGGUACAAGCGCGUCGCGAACCCGCGAAGGGGGAGCCAAUCGCUAAAAGCCGGUCUAAGUUCGGAUUGGAGUCUGCAACUCGACUCCAUGAAGCCUGGAAUCGCUAGUAAUCGCGGAUCAGCACUGCCUGCGGUGAAUACGUUCCCGGGUCUUGUACACACCGCCCGUCACGCAUCAGGAAGCUGGAGGUGUACCUAGAACCGGUGGGCCAACCGCAAGGGAGGCAGCGUCUACGGUAAUAUCAGUGACUGGGGUG